CCAGAGUGGUCAUGGGUAAUGGGGAAAUGUAUUUUUACACAGAGAGCAGCAAACAUAGAAGAAAACUAACAGUAAAGUGGAUUUAUAAUGUAUUACAUUUUCUCUCAUGUAUGUACUGCUUGUGUAAUUUUGAGUUUACAAAAAAAACUGACAUAAUUCCUACAUGAUUAAUAUCACAGUAAUGUUUAAAGUUUUCAUUACCAGACUAAUCAAGGUCAUAAAAUUUCACCCAAACAUCUUUUUGUAUAGAUAAUCUCAAUAGUAACCGCAUGUUUCUGCUGGAGAGUUUAACACAUAGUAUGAUUUUUUCUUUGGUAGCUUAAUUUUAAAAAAUAUGCAUUUUACUAGAGAAGGAAGCUAACACGAAUAAGCUAGGCUAAGCUAGUUAGCUUUAGAGCCAUGAGUCUAUCGGCUUCCUGUUAACUGCAUCAUUCAACAGAUUCAGCUGCUGCUUCAUUUGUGUGAUAUAAUGUGGCAGCCAUGAAAUUAUUUAAUUUCUUAAACACAAAAAUGGAGGAAAUGUCUCAAUUAGACUUAGAUUUGGGUUAUCUAAUAAGCUAGCUGUAUUUAAUAAAAGAAACAAUUGCAGUUUUGCUUUAAAUCAAUAAAGUUGGAAAAUAUUCAGGUUUAUUUCAGCCUGAUGUAUUUCCUGUUAUUCUGUAGUGUUUUUUGAAAGGUGAAUAAAUAUCGGCUCUGACAACGACACUGCAUGAGGAGGUCCAUGUGACCAUUGCACCUGUGAGCGUGUUCAUCCACACUCACAGGAUUAUUUGAAAACCUGUCCUGGCCAGAAUGAUGGAAAUCAUGUUCCUCCAUGUGUUCUAGCAAUGCGUUCUUGGUCUCAGCAUCUUCCAGCAAAGCGCCCACAUCGAAGAUGUUGUCCAGGUUUAUAGGUGACGUCCGUGGAGAUUUGGAGCUUGCUGCCUUCCCCGUGUGUGCACACAUGGGGGCAGUGUGCUCACACAGAAACAUUGUUACAGCCGUAACGACGCAUCAGGAUUUCAGCAAACAUGCGGUCUAAUAUAACAGCGCAGCGUUGAGAGAGAGGAGGCUCUGUCGGCUGCUGUUUGUGGAGAAUUUCAGCUCAUUUCAGGGACAAACAGAAAUAAUGGUUGUAAUAAAACCAGCGCGGGAUGAUUGCAGCUCGCUCUGCAGCCACAGGAAGCAACAGGUGCUGCUUUUUCGAUCAAAGACAGGAGAAGGCCAAGGAGAGGGAAAUCUCCAGCUCUCUCAGGAUCUGUGUGGAUUCCUGGACGCGUCUCCUAAACUGAUAAAGCGUAUACAAGCGCUGCAGCGAUGGGGAAGGCAGGGCAGAGCUCAGCCGGGGUCUCACAAGCACAGGCAGUCUGAUUACACCGACUCCGUUAUGCAAAUGGUUGAAAUGAUUCGACUGCCAUGCAGCGGCUACGUUCACACAUGCAGUUAAGCUUUUCUCUGUUCACGGCCUUUAAUUAAACCA